AACGAACGCUGGCGGCAUGCCUAACACAUGCAAGUCGAACGAGACCUUCGGGUCUAGUGGCGCACGGGUGCGUAACGCGUGGGAAUCUGCCCUUGGGUUCGGAAUAACAGUUGGAAACGACUGCUAAUACCGGAUGAUGACGUAAGUCCAAAGAUUUAUCGCCCAAGGAUGAGCCCGCGUAGGAUUAGCUAGUUGGUGAGGUAAAGGCUCACCAAGGCGACGAUCCUUAGCUGGUCUGAGAGGAUGAUCAGCCACACUGGGACUGAGACACGGCCCAGACUACUACGGGAGGCAGCAGUGGGGAAUAUUGGACAAUGGGCGAAAGCAUGAUGAAGCAAUGACGCGUGAGUGAUGAAGGCGUUAGGGUUGUAAAGCUCUUUUAACCGGGAUGAUAAUGACAGUACCGGGAGAAAAAGCUCCGGCUAACUCCGUG
rnacentral:rRNA from 1 species